CAGGGGAGUCGUGCGCGGCGGAAGGGGACACGGAGCGGACUCGCGUGCGUAGCGGAGCCGCUCUUGCAGGCAGCGCCGUCGCUCGGUCCACGGUUGGGGGACCCACGAGGUGCCGGGUCCUGUCCCCGGAACAAUGGGACUCGGCGCGCGAGGUGCUCUGGCCGCGCUGCUCCUGGGCGCGCUGCUGCUGGGCGUGCUGCUCCUGGGCGCGCUGCAGGUGCUGGCGCUGCCAGAGGCCGCCGUGGGCGAACUGGCGACGGAGGAUCAGAAUCCAUAUUCUAAACCGUUCCACCACCAGGCUGCAUCAGGUGAUGUUAGCUCUUAAAGUAGGUAAUGCUUUUAUUCCGCAAUUUCCCAGAAUAUUGUAGGAGAAGAUAAAAAUGUCAUGAAGUUCUGGUUUUAAAAUACCUUUCAGUCUGCUGCGUAGUUUUAUAAAUAUUCUCAGUUGGAGGAAGGGGAUACCAUGAACAAGUUAGAAAGUCAAAACAGUGAAGGACAUAAGCAGAAUGGGAUGGGAGGUUGUUAGUCACUUUCUUGGUGGCAAGUGACAGAACUCACUUCUAAUAACCUUAGGGAGAGAAGGGACUUUAUGAACUCAUAGCAGAAAAGUUCCAAGAGGCUUGGAGAUGGCAGUAUCCAAUGGUUCAGAUUGGUUGGCAAGAAAUCAUCUCACAAGAAUGACAACAAGGAAACAUGCAGCAGUCUAGGCAAAAGAUGGUAGUCAUGGGGCUGGACGUGGUGGUCAUGCCUGUAAUCCUAGCUAUGCUGGAGUCACAGGUAGAAGAAUCUUGGUCAGAGGCUGGCCAAAAGCAAAAAUGCAAGACCCUUCCUGAAAAACGACUGAAGUGAAAAAAGGACUGGGGGCAUGACUCAAGUGGUAGAGUACUUGCCUAGCAAGCGUAAGGACCUGAGUUUAAACCCCAUACCACGACGACAACAACAAAGAAGAUGAUAGUGGUAAGAGGUUGGACAGAGGGCCAAGGAAGAAGGAGGCAUCCAAGGGUGGUGUCUUGGUUUAGGGGUAAGCAACUGGUAACACAACAGCUGCGAAUAGAGAAACAAGUUUAUGGUAGAUCAUGCACAAGCUGUGGAAGUAAUCAGCCAGGUCAGCUUAACUAGCUGGGUGGCCUUCUCUGGGCCUCCAGUACUGCCACUACAAAACAGCAGUCCUGUCUCAGAAUUUUGGGAGUUAUGUGAAGGUAACAUGCUCCCCAUAAGGCCUGGUGGGUAGUAAGCAAUUAUGUCAUACCUGCUGCUGAGUCUUUAUAGUCUACUGAUCUUGACCUCUUCCUAGUUUAAUUUUACACUGUAUCCUUUUGUGAUAAAUGGAUUACAGUCUCAUCAAGAGGAAGAUAUUUACACAAGCAAUAAAAACUUCAAAGUUGUUAUUGCUUGUUUGGGG
rnacentral:lncRNA from 1 species